rnacentral:rRNA from 1 species
UGGGGAAUAUUGCACAAUGGGCGCAAGCCUGAUGCAGCCAUGCCGCGGGUAUGAAGAAGGCCUUCGGGUUGUAAAGUACUUUCAGCGGGGAGGAAGGGAGUAAAGUUAAUACCUUUGCUCAUUGACGUUACCCGCAGAAGAAGCACCGGCUAACUCCGUGCCAGCAGCCGCGGUAAUACGGAGGGUGCAAGCGUUAAUCGGAAUUACUGGGCGUAAAGCGAACGCAGGCGGUUGGUUAAGUCAGAUGUGAAAUCCUCGGGCUCAACCUGGGAACUGCAUCUGAUACUGGCAAGCUUGAGUCUCGUAGAGGGGGGUAGAAUUCCAGGUGUAGCGGUGAAAUGCGUAGAGAUCUGGAGGAAUACCGGUGGCGAAGGCGGCCCCCUGGACGAAGACUGACGCUCAGGUGCGAAAGCGUGGGGAGCAAACAGG